AUUGAACGCUGGCGGCAGGCCUAAUACAUGCAAGUCGAGCGAGCGGCGGACGGGUGAGUAAUGUAUGGGGAUCUGCCCGAUAGCGGGGGAUAACUACUGGAACCGGUGGCUAUUACCGCAUACCAUCGGAUUAUACCAUAUGGAACUAGCUAGUAGGUGGGGUAAAGGCUCACCUAGGCAACGAUCUCUAGCUGGUCUGAGAGGAUGAUCAGCCACACUGGGACUGAGACACGGCCCAGACUCCUACGGGAGGCAGCAGUGGGGAAUAUUGCACAAUGGGCGCAAGCCUGAUGCAGCAAUGCCGCGUGUAGGAAGAAGGCCUUAGGGUUGUAAAGUACUUUCAGCGGGGAGGCGUUACCCGAAGAGGAAGCACCGGCUAACUCCGUGCCAGCAGCCGCGGUAAUUC
rnacentral:rRNA from 1 species